UACGUAGGGUGCAAGCGUUUAAUCGGAAUACUGGGCGUAAAGCGUGCGCAGGCGGUUUUGUAAGUCUGUCGUGAAAUCCCCGGGCUCAACCUGGGAAUUGCGAUGGAGACUGCAAGGCUAGAAUCUGGCAGAGGGGGGUAGAAUUCCACGUGUAGCAGUGAAAUGCGUAGAGAUGUGGAGGAACACCGAUGGCGAAGGCAGCCCCCCUGGGUCAAGAUUGACGCUCAUGCACGAAAGGCGUGGGGAGCAA
rnacentral:rRNA from 1 species